GGGGGGGGGAAGAGGAAGAGCAGGAAGAAGACCCCCACACGCACACACACACAUGGGUAGGAAGACCCACACGGCAGAACUCUUGUUCUCUUCUAUCCCCAGGCCUGGCUGGAGCACCAGAGGGACCAGUUCCAAAUCCAUGAGAACAACUUCCUGGCCUUUGAUGCCAUGUGGCACGCAGUGCAGGGCAUGGGCCGGGCGAUCCAGGGCAAGACCGACUAUGGCCUCAUGGCCUUUGCUGACAAGGGACGGUCAGCAAAAGUGACUCGUUUCCUGCAUUCAAGCCUUGGACAAAGUUGUUCAAUUUCUUUAAACCACGGGUUAGCUGCGUUUACGUUUAAAACCUGAUGAUACGCUCUCCAUCUGCUUUCCCACAAAUGGUACGGCACCCUUUUAUCAAUAAAAGUCAGGAGAGGGUAUUGUGGCUUUUUUAGAUAAAGCGACGAAGACUGUUUUUGUUGUUUUUUCCCUUCUUCUUGCUUAUAGAGGUUAGAGGAAGAGUUAGGUUGAAUAUUUUUUUAGGUUGAAUUUUUUUAUUAAAUUAAAAUCUUUCUACAUAUAAUUUUACAACUACAUUCAAGAUACCAUCACAAACAUGAUACUCUCUCUUGACUUUUGGUUUUACUCAUACACUUGCUCAGUCCCUAAAGUUACCACUAAUAUAUCAUUCAAGUUAUAUUCACUAAUGACAUUUCUGUAUAACCUUAAGUAAUCAGUGCAUCGGCAUUGGAUAAACAAGGCCAAAGUUUCCUCCAUUGAACUGGGGAAAUCCUUCCUUUCUCUUCUCUA